rnacentral:rRNA from 1 species
GCACCACAACAGGUGGAGCCUGCGGUUUAAUCGGACUCAACGCCGGGAAACUCACCAGAUAAGACAGCUGAAUGAUAGUCGGGCUGAAGACUCUACUUGACUAGCUGAGAGGAGGUGCAUGGCCGUCGUCAGUUCGUACUGUGAAGCAUCCUGUUAAGUCAGGCAACGAGCGAGACCCACGCCAACAGUUGCCAGCUCGUCCUCCGGGAUGGUGGGGACACUGUUGGGACCGCCUCUGCUAAAGAGGAGGAAGGAAUGGGCAACGGUAGGUCAGCAUGCCCCGAAUUAUCUGGGCUACACGCGGGCUACAAUGGGUGGGGCAAUGGGUAUCGACACCGAAAGGUGAAGGCAAUCUCCUAAACCCAUCCGUAGUUCGGAUUGUGGGCUGCAACUCGCCCACAUGAAGCUGGAAUCUGUAGUAAUCGUGUCUCAAAAUGGCACGGUGAAUAUGUCCCUGCUCCUU